rnacentral:rRNA from 1 species
UAGGGAAUCUUCGGCAAUGGGGGGAACCCUGACCGAGCAACGCCGCGUGAGUGAAGAAGGUUUUCGGAUCGUAAAGCUCUGUUGUUAAGGAAGAACGAGUGUGAGAAUGGAAAGUUCAUACUGUGACGGUACUUAACCAGAAAGGGACGGCUAACUACGUGCCAGCAGCCGAGGUAAUACGUAGGUCCCGAGCGUUGUCCGGAUUUAUUGGGCGUAAAGCGAGCGCAGGCGGUUAGAUAAGUCUGAAGUUAAAGGCAGUGGCUCAACCAUUGUAGGCUUUGGAAACUGUUUAACUUGAGUGCAGAAGGGGAGAGUGGAAUUCCAUGUGUAGCGGUGAAAUGCGUAGAUAUAUGGAGGAACACCGGUGGCGAAAGCGGCUCUCUGGUCUGUAACUGACGCUGAGGCUCGAAAGCGUGGGGAGCGAACAGG